rnacentral:sRNA from 1 species
UAUUACCCUAUAUAGAUUUUGGGUCACAAUUUAUAUCAAGGAUAGAAAAACACUGCUAAUUCCACAGCUCAUUUUUUUUAUGGUGAACAAACGUAUGUUUUAUAAAUCUAUAUUUAGUACACGUAUGUAUAAUUACACUGUGCUUCUAGCUCUGGCAAAGAGCUAUUCAUGUAUUACUAAUUUACUUAGAAUAUGAUGUAGAUCGUUGAACUUCAGAUAUUUGGUAUGAAUUAAUGAUAUGCAUGUAAUGAUAUACAGAUAUGAUAUACAGAUGCUGGAACAUGUAUUUAGUCUGCGGGAUUUUUUUGCUAAUAGUUUUUUAAAGGUUUUGUUCUUUCUAUAUGACUAUAAAUAAGGUCAAGUUAUGGAUAGUUUUAGAAAUUUUUGUUCUUCUCAAAUGAAAUUCGAUGGAGUUAACCAUCUUUUUAAAUUACUUUGAUAAAGUUUUGAUAAUUUUUUUCUCUCUAUUUGAUAGACGUUCCUCAAAUUUAUUUUCUAAAGAUUAUUUAUUUUGAAUUUUUGUAUGUAUUGGUAUAUGAUAUUUGACCUUACAAAUGUUGUAAAAUUAUGGUUUCUGUAAAUUUAUACAUACGUGUAUGUAAAUGUGCCUCAAAGAUUUUGAUAUUACAUAAAUAUACAAUGUUACAUUUUAAUGUCUGUCAUGAAUGUUGUUGGAAUUAAAUGCUUUAGUACAGAU